CCCUUAGAUGUCCUGGGCCGCACGCGCGCUACACUGAGUGUCUGAGAUAUGAGGCAUGCCUGGUCCGGCAAGGUCUAGGUAAUCACGAAAAGGCACAUCAUGCUUGGGAUUGAUUAUUGCAAAUUUUAAUCAUGAACGAGGAAUUCCUAGUAAGUGCAAGUCAACAGCUUGCGUUGAUUACGUCCCUGCCCUUUGUACACACCGCCCGUCGCUACUACCGAUUGGGAAAAUUUUAGAGAGUCCUGGACUGAUGAUUGUUCGGCUUCACGGCCUUACUUUCGUCGGGAAAGAAUUCGAUAAUAUUUUUCUAGAGGAAGUAAAAGUCGUAACA
rnacentral:rRNA from 1 species